GAUGAACGCUAGCGGCAGGCCUAACACAUGCAAGUCGAGGGGCAGCGGGUAAGUAGCUUGCUACUUAUGCCGGCGACCGGCGGACGGGUGCGUAACGCGUAUGUAACCUACCUUUGACAGGGGGAUAACAUCGAGAAAUUGGUACUAAUACCCCAUAACAUCACCGGAGGCAUCUUCGGUGGUUGAAAACUCAGGUGGUCAGAGAUGGACAUGCGUUGUAUUAGCUAGUUGGUGAGGUAACGGCUCACCAAGGCGACGAUACAUAGGGGGACUGAGAGGUCAACCCCCACAUUGGUACUGAGACACGGACCAA
rnacentral:rRNA from 1 species